AGGUUUUAGCUUAAUUAAAGCUUUUGAUUUGCAUUCUGAAAAUGUGGGAUAGAGUCCCGCAAACCU